rnacentral:rRNA from 1 species
AGUGAACGCUGGCGGUAGGCCUAACACAUGCAAGUCGAACGGCAGCACAGUAAGAGCUUGCUCUUACGGGUGGCGAGUGGCGGACGGGUGAGGAAUACAUCGGAAUCUACUUUUUCGUGGGGGAUAACGUAGGGAAACUGACGCUAAUACCGCAUACGACCUACGGGUGAAAGCAGGGGAUCUUCGGACCUUGCGCGAUUGAAUGAGCCGAUGUCGGAUUAGCUAGUUGGCGAGGUAAAGGCCCACCAAGGCGACGAUCCGUAGCUGGUCUGAGAGGAUGAUCAGCCACACUGGAACUGAGACACGGUCCAGACUCCUACGGGAGGCAGCAGUGGGGAAUAUUGGACAAUGGGCGCAAGCCUGAUCCAGCCAUGCCGCGUGAGUGAAGAAGGCCUUCGGGUUGUAAAGCCCUUUUGUUGGGAAAGAAAAGCAGCAGGUUAAUACCCCGCUGUUCUGACGGUACCCAAAGAAUAAGCACCGGCUAACUUCGUG